UGCGGAGUGGUUCCCCUUCGGUGUCAGUUUUCAGAUGGAAAAUAUCCCCUGUGUCACCACAGGGCAGAGAUACUGCAGAAUUACAGAACGUUGCUCCUGAGAGCUGCCGUGAAAUAAAUACACGUAGGAGGUUAUAAAAACGGGGUUUGUAUAAACUGCCCUCUUUUAGCAAACACUUGGCUUCCUAUAAUUGUGUGCGCUGUUGUUUGAACUUAUCAAAUAUGUGAUUGUUCUCCUUCUCCUUCAGAGAGAUAAGAAAUCCACCCUCCGGAUAUGCAGAACGAUGUUGUUGUAAUCACCCUUCAAAGGGAGACCCACGGUAAACAAAUGCCGUGAGCCUGUCACCCCUCUCAGUGAGCAGCAGAACUUCCAGGAGAAGGCCGGGAUGAAGAGGAGAAAUUCAGCUGAGGAACAAGUAGAUAAUUUCCCCUUUCUUCAGUCUCAGAAAGAUCAAAAUUCAAAGGUACCAUAUCUGGAUGGGUGACCCGUCUUGAGCUUGGAAAAUUAACCCGUGGAGAAACGACAAAAUGCAAGUUAAGAGGUUUCUGAUUUUAAGCGACAAAAAUGAGCUUCAGACCUGAGGUGAUUUAUAUAAAUUAAAUGUGACCCCUCAAUAUCAGAAGAUACUCCACUUGGGCCACUUAAGGACAAAAACAAGGGUAAAAAAAACGUGCUAAUGGUCCACGCUGCAACACCAGAUUAUGGUUCUUAUUGUGUGAGAAAUAAGUAAAUAAUAAUAAUUUACCAAGCUU